UUAACUCGCUGGCAUCAGCUGAAGAGCUUAUCCGUCCAAGAGACCAGGAGUGGAUGCGUUUUGGGAUCAUCCUGGUUGUGUAUUCUGAUCGGUUGAAUAUGGUCUAUAUGCAAUGAAAAAGUCUGUACUGCUUACCAGGACGUGGUAUGGAUGGAUGAAGGCAUAGAACAGGCGCAUCCCAGCCUUCUCUUACCCAAAUUUGUGAGGCAAGCAUCCUUCCAUCGUUUUAUGGAUUGAAGAAGGCGCACAAUGAGAUCGGUCCACCCUUCUCUUACCCGGAUCAGCCAAGGGAGCAUCCUUCCAUGACAACGGCCAAAUCAUGUACCGAUGUACGAAGUCAGUUUGCUCUUCCUCCACUUGUAUUUUCAAUCUUUGUGUACACUAAUGGAACUGGU